CGACUACUCGAAUAAAUUAUUUCUAUACUUGAUUGCUCACAAUUCAAAAGAAACAGGCGAAAUAUUUCGCAUUUCGCCGAGAAAAACCGGUCGUGGAAUCACCGAAUCAGGCCUUUAGAUGUGUUUAUAGAAUCUACAGAACCGCAGUUAUUUUAUUGGUUUGAAAUAUUAUGCUCUAGUGUUAGUGAGAGACGUAAAUUCAGGGGAAUUUCAGUUUAUAAGUAAGAGUUAUAAACCGAGAAGGAGG